GACGAACGCUGGCGGCGUGCUUAACACAUGCAAGUCGAACGGAAAGGCCCUGCUUUUGUGGGGUGCUCGAGUGGCGAACGGGUGUGUAACACGUGAGUAACCUGCCCUUGACUUUGGGAUAACUUCAGGAAACGGGGGCUAAUACCGGAUAGGAGCUCCUGCUGCAUGGUGGGGGUUGGAAAGUUUCGGCGGUUGGGGAUGGACUCGCGGCUUAUCAGCUUGUUGGUGGGGUAGUGGCUUACCAAGGCUUUGACGGGUAGCCGGCCUGAGAGGGUGACCGGCCACAUUGGGACUGAGAUACGGCCCAGACUCCUACGGGAGGCAGCAGUGGGGAAUAUUGCACAAUGGGCGGAAGCCUGAUGCAGCAACGCCGCGUGCGGGAUGACGGCCUUCGGGUUGUAAACCGCUUUCGCCUGUGACGAAGCGUGAGUGACGGUAAUGGGUAAAGAAGCACCGGCUAACUACGUG
rnacentral:rRNA from 1 species